UACGUAGGGGGCAAGCGUUGUCCGGAUUUAUUGGGCGUAAAGAGCGUGUAGGCGGCCAUGUAGGUCCGUUGUGAAAACUCGAGGCUCAACCUCGAGACGCCGAUGGAAACCAUGUGGCUAGAGUCCGGAAGAGGAGAGUGGAAUUCCUGGUGUAGCGGUGAAAUGCGCAGAUAUCAGGAGGAACACCGGUGGCGAAGGCGGGUCUCUGGGCCGGUACUGACGCUGAGGCACGAAGGCCAGGGGAGCAAACGGG
rnacentral:rRNA from 1 species